rnacentral:rRNA from 1 species
GUCCACGCUGUAAACGAUGAGCACUAGGUGUCGUGGGUAUUGACCCCGCGGUGCCGCAGCUAACGCAUUAAGUGCUCCGCCUGGGGACUACGGCCGCAAGGUUAAAACUCAAAGGAAUUGACGGGGCCCGCACAAGCGGUGGAGCAUGUGGUUCAAUUCGACGCAACGCGAAGAACCUUACCUGGGCUAGACAACGGAGGCCAGCCCCAGAGAUGGGGUCUUCCCUUCGGGGACUUCCGGUUCAGGUGCUGCAUGGCUGUCGU